UACUUUCCUCUUUGUAAUUGUAAAAGUAACAUAUUCAUCAUAGAAAAAAUUUAGAAAAUACAGAACAGUACAAAGAAAAAUCUAUGAUCUUCAUACCAGAAAUUAACCAAUGUUAAGGAUUUAUUUCUCAUAUGACCUGCCGUUUUAAUGUAGUAUGGUGAACUUUCUCCUUUUGUUCACUUUUGAAGAUUUACAUUGUACAUGGUGGUUGUCUUUUUGUUAUGACUUUACUGUAGUUAAUUAUUGUUCACACUGGGGUGGGUGAGAAAGGGAGAGAGAGGAGGGAAAAGGGAAUUCAGCUCUGAUUUUUUUCCCCCUUCUCGCAGAGUGUUCUUGUGAUCACUUGAAUAAUUCCAGAUUCUAAUGAUCUUUCCAAGGUAAAUAAUUGUAUGCCCACCCAGUCUCCUGAUUCUGCAUUAGAGCUCCCUGAAGGCCACAGCCCUUUUGGUUCUUGGUGCUAGAAGUUGACUUUGGCCUUGUCUGUGUUCAUUCUUUCUGCUCUGUGCCAAACUUUUUGAGAAUAAGAACUCUUCUUAGUAUCUGGCCUCAGAGCUCUUUGUAAGUGAAAUAUCUGGUGUCUGUUAAUUGAGAAAAAUUAUCAAACUCUGGAAAUAAGAAUUUAGAAAUACUUUUCAUUUAAGAAUUCAUAACUGCAUGUACCUAAGUCUGAAAAUAUGGCUAGGAAUACUUAGCUCAUGGAUAGUGCUUGGUUCGUGUCUGGACUAAUUCUCAGACGUCCUUUUAAUAACUCUACCCUGUCACCUCAGGGUGGGGGGCAGGUCAGUGUUUACAGCUUGGGAACCAGAGCUAUGGCCUUUCCAGAUGGCUUCAACAGGCUAGUCUCUUGUUUCUGUGCUUUGUCCAUAUGUAUUUGCACAUUCCUUUUAUCUGAAAUGUGUUUUGCAUUCUUUCUACCCUCCCCCCCCCAUUCUUCCCACUCCCCAAGAAGAAACCAAACUUAAUUAAAGACUGCCAGUGACUGUUUUCUUUUGAUUUUCAACUCAAGCAGACUUCAUUCAUUCAACAAGUAUUUCUCAAGUGCCUUGUUUGUAGCAGACAUGGUUAUAGGCAUUGGGUGAGCAAAAUAAACAAGGUUCCCUCAUUCAUAAAACUGACAGUCCUGUGGGAAAGGCAGACAACAAAGGUAAGCAAACAUGUGAUAAAUUACAACUUGUCCUAAGUGCUUUGAAGGAGGAGAACAGGAUGCAGUGACAAGGGACCCCCUAGGGUGGUUUUUAAAGGGCUUGCAGCAGCUGAAGUGGCAGCCAGGCCAGUGUAGGCAUAAGUAGAGUGUUUUCAGGCAGGAGGAAGAACAGGAGUGAAGGCCCUGCGGAGGUAAAGCAUUUGGAACCAAAAAGAGUCCGGUCCAUGUGACUGGAAUUUGGGGCUGUUUGGCCUGGACAGACGCAUUUGGGGUCAUCAGUUUUUUUUUUUUUUUGGUGUCUUUUUAGCAUUUCUUGGGCCGCUCCUGUGGCCUAUGGAGGUUCCCAGGCUAGGGGUCUAAUUGGAGCUGUAGCUGCUAGCCUACACCACAGCUCAUAGCAAUGCCGGAUCCUUAAACCCACUGAUGGAGGCCGGGGAUUGAACCUGCAACCUCAUGGUUCCUAGUCGGAUUUGCUGACUGCUGAGCCACGAUGGGAACUCCUGGGGUCAUCAGUUUUAUAGGCAUUUAACCUUAUGGAAAAGGCUGCAUUUCCAUUUUAUUUUAUUUAUUAUAUGCAUUUAUUUUGGGAGAGCAGAGUGAAAAGGCAAGAGGCUUAGAACUUAGCAGAGCUCUGGAAGGGAGGUAGAGAGGGUUAAAGAAACCUGAGUCAGUGCAGUCUGAGAAGUGGCAGGAAGGCCUGAGCCUCAACUGGUCUUCUCUGAAAUGAGGGCUUCUCAGGAGAAGGGAUUGGGCAGCUUUGGGACACCUCUGAGAGGUGGAGUUAGAAAGGGGGAGGAAAGUAUUUCUGGAUCUGCCAGUGGGGAGGUCACUGGUUACCCUGACAAGGGCUGCUCCAGGGGUGGGGGUCGGGUGAGCGGAAAGCUCAUCCAUGUGGCUCUCGGGUAUAGACAGCUGUGUAAAGAAGCUUCACUGUUCUGGUGUCCCUGAUGGGAGGCAGCUGAGCUGCAGAGGCCCCUUGCUGGUAGGUGACUUAGAGAACAGCUCUUAGCUUCUGGGAGUGAGACCGUGGCUUAGCUUGUAGAUGCUGAGAGCAGACAACUGAAAAGGCCCAGGAGACAGAGUGAGAGCACCUCCCCUUGUCAUAGGAGGGCAUUCGGGUGGCCGUCCUGACUGGUGGUGGGCGAGGGGCAGAGCUUGGAUGGAUAUGGCUGCCUCCUCCAAGGUUUGGGUUCUGAGGUACUGCUCCAGGGGAAGCCACAGCAGUGACCAUGCUGGAUCCUUAACCUGCUGCGCCAUGGGGGAACUCGAGAAUGGCCCUACUUUUCCUUCUCUUGUGGGAAGCCUGUAGUAGACUUAGAAUUUCAGAGCUUACAGUUGGGUCGUGUCCUCUGCCCUCAUCUCCAUUGUCUUCACCCCUAGAUAGUUGUGUGUGCCCAUGUGCCACAGAAUGGACAAGAUAAAUGAGGUGAGAAAGAUGCCCCAGCCUUGAUCUUCUGGAAUGGGUGCAGAGCAGAGUCAAGACCCGAGGCUGUCUCUCAUGUAUACAUUACGGCAGGCUGUCUCACUGUGUGUUUCUUCAUUCUUGUUGAAGCUGCUAUUUCUUAACUUCUUCCUGUUUGCCUAUAGCAGAGUUGGGCUAUUGUUCUGGUAUAAAGGUUGCUCUGUUAAUUCCUACUUUCCAGGGUGCUGUAAAGGAGAAUGACUGUGGGACCAUUGUUUUGGCUUUUUAUUGUUCUCCUGUUAUAGACUGAGGUGAUGUGGCAGGAAAAGGUCGAGAUGCUUGGACCUUGCCUAACACAGGGGGCAGAGGAUGGUUGUGUUGGGGGUGUAGAAAGGCCUGCUGAAGUUGGCUUAGUUUGAGGGGAGUUGGGGUGUUUUUCAGAAAGACAGGAAAUGUGUCCUUUUCCUGGGUGACUGAUAGAAUCACAUUUAGUGUGCUCUGUAGCUUUCAU
ensembl:lncRNA